rnacentral:lncRNA from 1 species
UGAUGAUAUUGAGAAACUAAGGAAGGUGCACUCACGGAUUAUCAUACAAACCUUAAUAAGAAAUAUUAGUGAUGGCACAAUCGCGGUGCAGCGUGUCGAUUCUAUAUAAAUAAAUAAAUAUAUAAGGCUGAAAAAAAUAACAUAAAAAAUAAAAGAAGAGUUAAAAAAUUAAAAAGAACAAAAGUAGAAAAAACUACAGAAGAAGCGGCUAAUGUUAUACAGUAAAAAAACAUAAGAAUAAAAAUAUAAUAAUGAUAAAAAAAAGAAUAUAAAUAAAAUUAUAAUAAUUAUUAAUAAUAUUUAGGGAAAACUUCAAAAACUCCCCCUGUGGCUUCGCACUUUCUCACUUGAGUGCCCUGUGGUUUAAAGUGUAUCAAUUUGGUGUCUUGUGGUUUCAUUUUUAUCUUUUCUAUAGCUUUUUCGUUAAUAUUUCGUUAAAUUAUAUAUAAAAAAACUUCAAAUACCCACCUAGGUUUAUCGAAUAUUCACUUUAAUAUCCUUUAAUUUUAACUUUGUCACUGAUUUAAGAGAAAAAAAAAUAGUAAAAUUGAUAGAAAAAAGAUAAAAUGAAACCACAGGGCACCAAAUUGAUACAUUUUAAACCACAGAGCACUCAAGUGAGAAAGUGCGAAACCACAGGGAGGGUUUCUAAGUUUUUCCUAAUAUUUAUAACAAUAAUAAAAAUUAUUUCAGAACUAAAGUGUUACAUGCCUCAUAGUUUGAACCGGAAAUUAUAACGUAUUAAAGUUCGAAAACUAAAAUGUCACAUGUCUUAUAGUUGAGUACCAAAUGUAUAAUUUACUCGUUUUUAUGCUUUAUUUUAUUACAGUUAAAGACAGAGUCGGUCAUCGAUCGGUUUUGUUCAAUUAGUAAUUUCAUUCGAGGAAACAAAUCGAUUAAAGUAUCUAAUAAAUUUUAAAAUACUAAAUGUAAAGUCGACUAAUAAUAUUUUGAAUAUCUCAGAAGAUUUAAGAUAUAAAAUUGAUCACUUAUCAGACUAUAAAUAUGAUAUUUAAAUUUGAUAUUAAAAUCAAAAUAAAAAUGCAUAGAACUUUCCUGAAGUGUAGAUUAUUUUGAAUGAGCUAUCCAACUUUUCAAUAUUUUUUCUUUACUAUCAAAUCUUUCAAUAUAUUAGAUUUGAGUCAGUUAAUGAUAUUAUGAUUUCAAAAUUUGAAUGCAUUGCUUAUCUUUAUAUAGCUUUAGUUAGUACAUGUGACACCCCAAUAGUCCCACAUCGAAUGGGAAUGGGGUUGUCAUUGGGUUUAUAAGAGACUUAGACACUAGUAAUAAUAACUGGGCUUAAGUAUUUUGGGCUGUUGGCUGGGCCCAACGAGUUAUUAUUGCUAGUGGGCUGGGUCGUUACAUUUGGUAUCAGAGCUGGUUCACCAGCUGGACAUGUGUGGCGAGUCUCGGCUGAGCCAGAGUCUGGAUGACGGGAUAGCGAGACGAGUCUCACAUCGCUGGUGGUGAUCUUGGGCUGUGUGUGUGAUUGGACUGACGAGGACGUCAGGGCCUUAACGGGGGGAGUCUGUGACACCCCAAUAGUCCCACAUCGGAUGGGAAUGGGGUUGUCAUUCAGUUUAUAAGAGACUUAGACACUAGUAAUAAUUACUGGACUUAAGCAUUUUGGACCGGUUGUUGGGCCCAACGAGUUAUUGUUGCUAGUGGGUUGGGUCGUU